GACGAACGCUGGCGGCAUGCCUAAUACACGCAAGUCGAGCGGACAGAAGGGAGCUUGCUCCCGGGAGUCAGCGGCGGACGGGGGAGUAACACGUGGGCAACCUGCCCCUUAGAUUGGGAUAACUUCGGGAAACCGAAGCUAAUACCGAAUAAUACAAGGAACCUCCUGGUUCUCCGUUGAAAGAUGGCCUUUGUGCUGUCACUAAGGGAUGGGCCUGCGGCGCAUUAGCUAGUUGGUAAGGUAACGGCUUACCAAGGCGACGAUGCGUAGCCGACCUGAGAGGGUGAUCGGCCACACCGGGACUGAGACACGGCCCAGACUCCUACGGGAGGCAGCAGUAGGGAGUCUUCCGCAAUGGACGAAAGUCUGACGGAGCAAUGCCGCGUGAGUGAGGAAGGCCUUCGGGUCGUAAAGCUCUGUUGUGAGGGAAGAACAAGUACCGGCGUAACUACCGGUACCGUGACGGUACCUCACCAGAAAGCCACGGCUAACUACGUGCCAGCCGCCGCUGUAA
rnacentral:rRNA from 1 species